CUCGUAGGCGGUUCGUCGCGUCCGGUGUGAAAGUCCAUCGCUUAACGGUGGAUCCGCGCCGGGUACAGGCGGGCUUGAGUGCGGUAGGGGAGACUGGAAUUCCCGGUGUAACGGUGGAAUGUGUAGAUAUCGGGAAGAACACCAAUGGCGAAGGCAGGUCUCUGGGCCGUUACUGACGCUGAGGAGCGAAAGCGUGGGGAGCGAACA
rnacentral:rRNA from 1 species